rnacentral:rRNA from 1 species
UUGAACUGAAGAGUUUGAUCCUGGCUCAGAUUGAACGCUGGCGGCAUGCCUUACACAUGCAAGUCGAACGGCAGCACGGGAGCAAUCCUGGUGGCGAGUGGCGAACG